UACGUAGGGGGCAAGCGUUGUCCGGAUUUAUUGGGCGUAAAGAGCGUGUAGGCGGCCAGAUAGGUCAGCUGUGAAAACUCGAGGCUCAACCUCGAGAUGUCGGCUGAAACCAUCUGGCUAGAGUCCGGAAGAGGAGAAUGGAAUUCCCGGUGUAGCGGUGAAAUGCGCAGAUAUCGGGAAGAACACCCGUGGCGAAGGCGGUUCUCUGGGACGGUACUGACGCUGAGGAGCGAAAGUGUGGGGAGCGAACAGG
rnacentral:rRNA from 1 species